UGAUGUCUUGGCCACAGGGUGGAGAUCAACGAGCUGACACUCAGUGAAGAGGGCAGCUGCAUCUUCACAUCACUGCAGGGAAACAAGGGCACCUGGAGGAAAGCAGAGGAGGGAAGUGCCGUUUGCUGCUGCAGCAGGGGACAGCCUCGGGGGAUCCCAGUGGAUCAGAGGGGAUCUGCCCCUGCGACUCACAGCUGCUCUGCUGACCAGACCUCCUCGAGAGACCCCAGCAGCCUCCUAAACCGGAGCCUUCCUGACCUUCUCUGUCUCUUCAGGGUGAAAAGGUUACAGUCAAGAAGUGAUUUCUUAAUUAAUUGGUGCUGGCUCCUGGGAGAGGGGGAAUGGAGCCCUUGUUCUGUUAUCACAGUGCCUGAUGAUUGUGUUCCCAGUGAGCUCUCUUCCUGUCUGUGUGGCCUAAGAGCAGAGCUGUGCAGUCAAGUGAACCCACCAAGAGUUUAAACAGUUUUGUGUCUUAAACUAUUAAGCCCCUGGAAACACUCUGUUGUUCCACUGUCUUGCCUGAAUGGUGUUGUGUGAAACUUGGGAACUCAUUGAGAUAAAUAUGGAUUUGCAGACAAACUCAUGCCUUCUGUGAAUGAGAAGAGAGGAGGAGCUCGAACAACCUGCCCUAACUUCCCUCCUUGCGUGAUGCCAGCUGUGAGUGUUUCUUUGGCAGUGUCUUAGCUGGUUGUUGUGAACAAUAGUCAAGGAAGCAAUCAGCAAGUAUACUGCCCUAGAAGUGCUACACAUUGUUGGGCCUGCCUCAUCUCCCUGGCUUGAGAGGUGGAUGGGGAUCCAGGUUGGGAUGCUGCCCAGGGGUACUGUGGUGCACUGCAGCUUGAGGUGUCUGCUGGAGCGGAGCGCUAACGUGAGAAAUGCCACAGGAUGCCUGAUGAUGUGGUCACUGCAUCAGAGAUGAGAUGAAGAAAAGAGAAGAUAAACAUGCUGCAAGUUGCUUUGCUUGUUCUUUGUCCUUCCCACAUGCAUCUUCCGGAGGGUAAAAUACCAGCUAUUGUUAGUAACGCUGCAAAAAGGCUACACUAGAAAUUGGGAGAAGGAUCUGCUUUUAGGAAGAAUUCAUCCAAACAUCAAUCUCGGGCUGCUAAUGACAAGCUAACUUGGCUUUGAACCUAGCAUGGGAGCAACCCACCUGUCAUCACUAUUUCUCCUGGGUGCUGGUGAGCAGACAUGAACAUAAUUGCACCAAUUACAGGAAGUUGUGCAACUUCAUGAACUGUCUAGAAAAGUUCUGCACUCAGAAGGUAAUGGGUGGCCAGGAGGGAGCACGGUAUCCUUCUGUUGCAAGUCUUCUGAAACUUCACGUCUGCCUUUUGCAGGGUAAUUGUCAUGAGACAGAUGUUUUGAGCUAGUACAUCAGAUUUCCUGAUAAAAUACUACUUUUCUAUGGCUUUUUACUUUCAUGUUUUUUGUUUCUUUAUGGAGCCAAAGAUGACCAUGAGUUCCAGGCUUUUUGGGGAGAAACGGGGUGUUAUAGGCAAUAGGAAUGGCUAAAAAGGAUAUCAUUGGAAGAUCACAGUGAAGAUUGCUGCAGAGAGUGCCUCUUUCUAUUCUAUGUAAAUGCCCUUUCUAGUGCCCCUUCCCAAAGUGCCGCUGCUCCAUGCUGGCGUCUGAGCUGGGUGUUGGCUGAAUGGAACUGAAGCAAUGGCUGGAAUGUGGUCGGAGUGACAAACGCGUGGGGCUUGACCUGCCUUGCUUUGCAUGUAAUUGCUGAGCAACUUCACCUGUGUUAAUAAAGUCAGUGAAUUUGAAUUCCAGGUUACAAGAGUAUGUUCUGCUCUUCACGUUUCCUGUAACGUAGCUCUGCAGUAGUGCUGAGACCAGUAUGGCUGGCAGUGGCUAACCAUCCCGUUUCUGUAAAUAUGUGUAUUUCGAAUAGUUCUGUUAAAUGUGCUCUUUGCUACCUGGCAAAGAAGCAUGAUGCAAACAGCGUUGUUGAAUGCCAAGUGGUGUUCUGGAGUGCCGUGUUGGGAAGGUGACCACAGCUGACCCCUUAGUUGGAUGAAGGGUGGUGGCUGUGCGCUGGUCUGCUGGGACCUGAGCAGUCAGCACCCGCGCACGGGGAGGGAAUCUGUGAAUGGUUUAGCACAAACAUCUUAUGUCUGCCUUCAAAGAAGGAGGGUGAGAAGUAUGAUAUUGUGUUUUACGUCCCAUUUUUCAAGGUCAUAUUUGGAUUCUGGUCUGUAAAUGUUGAGUGUCCUUGCGUCAAUGAAAGAAAUGGUCUCCUGGGGGCUGUUGCACCCUUUCCCUUUGGCAGAAUUGUCUCUUUGCUGCUUUGCACUUCAUCUAUUUCAAAUAACUUGUGUGAAAUAACUUGAGUGAGGCUCCUAGCUCAGUAACCAGGGAAGCUGACAUGCUUCAUGACUCUUCCUACUUGAGGGGUCUCAUUAUUAGCUUUUAUAUUCCUGUCUCAUCUGUGUUAAAACUACAGGCUGUCGGCAGACCUUUCUGUUGCAAAGUACAGUGUAUAUGCCCAAUUCAAUUCACAGUAAAAGCUACACCCCAAAAAUACUACUAUUUGGCCUAUUUUCUUACUACUAAGUAGAAGAGAUGUAGUCUAUACAUUUUUAUUAUAGAUAAUGAGACUAGCUAAAAAAAAAAAUCAUUGAAAGAUUGCCAUGAAAUUCCCUAUAAAGAGUGCCUCGCUGUACUCUCUGCGAGUGCCCUUUCCCAAAGUGCCACCUCUCCGUACUUCAGUCUCAGCUGGGUGACUGUAAGACCAGGUCUUAAAUGUAAUGGUUUUUUUGUUCAUGGCAUACUCUGUUUCAUUGUGAAUGUACUAUAUUAAUACCUUUAUUUUUCUCCAUGCAGCCACGGCACGAAGGAAUAGCCCAUAUAAAUCUCCUAAUUUAAAUUUGAAAUGAAAAACUAUCACAACACUUGGAGCACGCUUUAAUCCAUUGAUUGUGCUGGCUUGAUUCCAGCAGUGUAACUAAUUACAUUCUGCCUGUGAAAAAUUCGCAUUGCUCAUGGCUGUUUUUGGAGAGUUGCUGGCUUGAAUCCUUGUGUCAUCUCUGCAGCCUGACUACACAUUUUUGAUGCUAAUGGAAAACUGCGUUCUAUGACUAAGCACCUCUCCUUGACGAAACGAAAAGCCAUGGGGCUUGCUGAACAGAUCCAGCAGAGUGCUCUGCUGGUAAGUGAUGGGUGUCUCCCGUUUCAGCAGUCGCGUUCACACACUCCGCUCUGCGAUCCCAGUGCACGGGAGGUGGAACACGAAACACUGCAUAAAUCCCAGGCUCAUCUCCAUCCAGCAGGUUUUUACGCUGUCUCCCUUGCCUCAGGGCCAUUCUUCUAUCCCAAUGCCGAGCCUGCCAACGGCUGAAAAUUUGUGACUCGAACAGUUGCCUGUCGUGUUGGUCUGGUUAAAGAUGAUAAGGCAACUGCAUAUUUCAGUCUCCUGAGAAUCACAAGGCGUCGGGCUGGAGUAACAUCUAACAUGCCAGCUAGUGCUCAGACACCGAAGCAGACCUGCCUGCCACGGAGGGCGUAAUUCUGUUUUGCUGUUGAACAACAGGGGGAUGGGAGGCAGGAGAAUGGGGGGUGUUAAUCUAGAAGUAGCAGCAGCAGAGAAAGUCACAGUAUUUAGUCUUGCAUAAUCAAAGUAAAAUAGGAAUUCAUAUAGCAUUUGUUAAUUCCAGAGAACCUAGAAUGAACUUAACUAAUUACAAAACUAUGGAACUUUGCUUUGUAGUUUCCCAUGCAAGGAGAGUCAGGGAAAACAGUGCAUAUCCUUUAUAGCUCCAAAUUACUUUAUUGGCUCUACGUACUUCUAUGUGUGUUGCAAUUCUGCUUCCAGCAAGUCUGUUCCCUGUAUGUAAAUGGCCUCCCACUGGGCUGAACUUCCAGCAUGACUCUUCGCAUCUGAGUGUCAGAUUCCUCCUGCUUGACUCGGUAGUACCUUGCUGUACUCGUUACAGAGCUGUCCUGAUGCCAGUGUUUGCCAAAUAAAACCUUUCAAAUCUCUGAAAGCUCUUUUUCUGAGAAGAAAAGCUGCGUGAGGGUUGGCUGUGGUGUCUGCGCCUGUUUAACUGACUUCCUUGUUGCUUAGCGUUCUUAGUAGAUGUGUAGGGAAUGUAUUUCCUCGUGGGUUUCUCUUGCUUGAUUCUUCUAAAUCUAUUUGAAGAAGUUGUUGUCUGGAGGGGACAGCUACUGAGAAAUUGUGAUGAAGGCUGUCAGUGAUCAUUUUGGAAUUUCUCGAGCAGCCCGAGAUGUCUUUCACUAAUGCUAUGUCAGAAGCUGUCUGCAUUAGUGUGUAUCCAAAAUGGAAUAGAUGGGGUUAAUAAAGUCAAGGAUUAGGUCCUUAAUCUGCACAAGGAUUGCUAGAAAUGUAGAUUUUUAUUUUUUUUUGUCACAUGCUAGAAAAAGUAACAAAGGACAAACAUGAGGAUUUUCGUCUCCCUCGGAAGCCUUCUCUUAACCGUGCUGCCCUGGCUUCCUCUCAGCUGAUGCAGUGGACCCAAGGAUCAGGUGAUGAUUUACAAAAAUGGUCUGGUUCUCCUGGAAAUGAAGAGCUCAGGUGCUGGUAAAGCUGUUGGCUAGCUUCUUUUUUCUUUUUUUUUUUUUUUUUAAAUUGCAUUAGGAUUCCAGAGUUAGGUUUAUGUUAACUCUUGGCUAGAUGUUCUCGUGCAUACAGUGUCU